ACAUAGGGAAAUUACAUUGCAUGCAAACUCCUAUGUUCGCAUUUAAAAAAAAUUCACUGUAUAAGCUCGCUGCGGGCCAAAGGCGACGCAGUUUUACACGAGAAGGUUUCAUCGAACUCAUAAUGGCUUCAAACGUUCUGAUUGCGUUGCUCGUCGUAGUAGGUAUCUGUUGCAGCUUCAGCUCAAGCGCUGGAAUGCAUGCUAUGCUAUCCUUCGGAUGCCGGAUGCACAUCGGGUCAGGUGACAACAUACGAGACUUGCCGUGACUUAUCCGUGAUUGGUUUUAAGUCGUUAUGUUUUGGCGCACGAGUUGAAGGAAGCAAAGACAGCAGAGGCUGCUCACAUGUGCGCCCGUCGGAGAGUUUCUGCAGAAUAAUAAUAAAUAACGAGUACGGAGUUAGCGAAUGUAGGACUUGCGAGA